AUCGAUAAGACGCAGUAAAAUCGCGCCAUUUCAAGUGCAAGUAUCUAAAAUAACUGUUAAUAUACACAAAAGAAAUAAUAGAAUAGUUGUAUAUCAACUAAGUUUCAGCUGCAUGCAUAUGCCCAGCCUUAAUUGGCCACCGGUUGCCAGUUUCAGCUAACGUUGCUGCUCGUUGCCAGCGAAAAAGUAUUGUACAGAUAAUGCAACAACGAAAACUGUCUGUCCGGGCAGUAGAGGGGCAACAGCCUCGUGUAGAAAAUUACGACUAGAACUAAGACUACGGCCAAAAAAAGUCAUCAGUCGCACUCGGGUCCCUCCGAGAAAUGGCCGCGCACAUCGAGCGCCGAUGCCAGCUGGAAAAUGAUGUGCGACAGCGAGGGAUGUUCGAGCAGUUCGUUAGCCGGCAGCUGGGGCUCACAGCGCGGUCGCAUGUGGCGUCCACGGAAACCGCGAUGCAAACGCAGCACCACAUCACAGAAGACGAAACGUAGAAUGAGUGUGCGCAGAAAAUCGUCGCCAAAGAACUGAACAUAGGAGGAGUCUGCAAAGCAACAAGAUAAACCCCAUUAGAGUGUGCGCUUGCAGUAUGCCAAGCGAGACCUCUUACCGAUAAAGCCUAUGCCCUGUUCGAUCUCAUCGAUGCGACAACGCGUGACCAGGCGCGACGCUUCGGUUAUGAAGCGAUCCACAUAGGUCUGGCAGCGUUCCCAGUGAUGGAUGGGCACAUCUCCCACAUUGCAUAUGUAGCAGAGCGCCGUGAGCGGGGAGUGCAGGAACAACGUGAACAGCGACCCAUGUUGCUGUACAUCAGCUGCAAGAUAAAUAGAGAGAGAAAGGGAGAGUAUAAAAGUUGCCAUCUGGUAAAUUGUUCUCAUACUUAAAUGUGGCUACGAUCAGACGGAUAUCAGAGUGAUAAUAAAAAUUAAAACAAAAAUUUGCCGAGCAUCCAUUGGGUAAGUCUACAGCGUUGCCAUCUUGUAAAUAAUUAUCAAAUAUAACCGAUAUAGGUUAGGGAUACAGAGUUGCCAUCUAGGUUAAGAUACGAUCAGAUGGAUAGUAGAAAGUAAACAAUGAAAAUAAUAACAAUUAGAUUUAAAAACCAUGCCAACGAGUAAAAAGUUUAACUAUUUUUCUGGAGUUAUACUACAUGAACACACAUUGAAUUUUAUUGCAUUAUAUAUAAUAUAUAUAUAAAGUACAAUAACAU